UCAUAAAACCAUAACCCAUCAUCUAUAAACAUAACUGUUCUAGUUAGGGAAGGUCCUAAGCAUCUGCCUCUCCCUCUACAGUAGUGCCUUGCUCCCCAGCCUUUUCGUCAUUACCUGGAUCUCUUAGCCCUUUCAAGAGGCAAGAUAGAGGACUAAAUAGUGGUAUAGCCGUGUGGAUGAAGAGCCAAAAUGAUAGGACUUCAAGAUUUCACCCUUUUGAAUAUGAAAAGAAGCUUUGGUUCCAAGUUUUGAAUCAAAACC